rnacentral:piRNA from 1 species
UGUACAGCUCUCUGGUGACCCCUUGUA